rnacentral:lncRNA from 1 species
GCUGUGCCCGCCCCUGCGAAGGGAAACGGACCAGCUUCCGGUGUCAUGGAGAGGUAGAAAAGCACUGGAGACCACACGUGAUCACACAGCAGCUGGUUACACAUUCCCGCAUAGCGAGGCCGUCUCCAACAACCAGUCAUGGGAGCCCUUAUCAGACUGGAAACUCCUGCUGUGUCCUCAAUGACAGUCUGGCAUCGUGGGACAUGGCAGAAAGCACCUAUAUUCCUUACCCUCUUGCCUUCCAUGAGCUGCCCCCAUUCCUAGCUCUAACUUCAAUGCAGAAUAGAAUUCUUACCUCUAUUCUUCUCAGCCUAAGGAGCCUGCUAUCUAUGGCUCAUGUGAGUAAGAAAUCAGGAAGAUGGCACUUUUUGCCCAUGGCUGUCAAAGAGUGAUUGAGAAAGAAAGGCUGGCAGAUUCUGGGGACCUCCUCAUCACAGACUGCACUGUACCUCUCGUGUGCGCAAAGAAGCCUUUCUUUGGUUGUUCCUGGGAUUUUUAAUCACCUGGUUUACAACAUGAGAUUCCGUCCUGCUUGGACUACACCUGGAGCUGAGUCUUGCCCUAGCAGUGGACUGAGUCUUUAUCCACUCUGUUUCAUCUCUCCCUGGAAUGGCCUUCAUCAGAUUCACAUACCCAGUGCUGAGCAUGGUAUCUGGCAUCAGGUGUUCCAUAAAUAUUUCUUGAAAG